GAGUUUGAUCGUGGCUCAGGACGAACGCUGGCGGCGUGCUUAACACAUGCAAGUCGAACGGAAAGGCCCUGCUUUUGUGGGGUGCUCGAGUGGCGAACGGGUGAGUAACACGUGAGUAACCUGCCCUUGACUUUGGGAUAACUUCAGGAAACUGGGGCUAAUACCGGAUAGGAGCUCCUGCUGCAUGGUGGGGGUUGGAAAGUUUCGGCGGUUGGGGAUGGACUCGCGGCUUAUCAGCUUGUUGGUGGGGUAGUGGCUUACCAAGGCUUUGAC
rnacentral:rRNA from 1 species